ensembl:lncRNA
GCUGGAGUGUUUUGCACAUUUUGGUUCCAAUUUGCACGGAAGCAUACAUCACACCGGGGACAAUGCUACACCUAAUUUACGGCAGCAAAUGAGACCAAUUAAAAACAACUCAGUAAAAAUUACACUGAAUCUUCAAUUACUUGGGGAGAUGAGGAGCAGGACAUUCUGUAAUUGACUUGUUCAUCUUCUCGUCCUCUAAACGAGGCCCUAGCCAGGGUAGGUCCCAAGCUGGUGGCCAUUUCACCACAGGUUCCACUCUCUGACCACUAUCAAUCACACACUGUGCCUUGAGUUUUCAGGUUGGAUGAAGGUUAUUAUCUGUAUCUGUGGGAGAGUGGGAAGAUGGGACAUUUUUUCCAUCAGAAAUGCAGUUUUCUUCCAGCUCUGCUGCUCCUGGUGUGCUCUGACACCUCCUGCUGACACCUCACACACGGCUCUGGAUGGUUAUUAGGAUGAAGAAAAAAGCAGUUGCCUGCUUCGAAAAUAAAUGGAAUAGAAUCACGAAGGUUGGAAAAGAUCCUCAAGAUCAUCGAGUCCAUAAAGCUGGCAGUGCCACCAAGCCACGUCCCUGAGCACCACAUCCUUCAAACACCCUUGGAAAUCAGGUGGCACCAGACUCAGUGUGCUAAAUUCAUCUCUGGCAGUGGAAGGGGCAUCGCUGGUGCCACUGAAUCCCCGGAUUUCAGUGGGAAUGCACAGCUCCAACCCAGGCCCUGCUGCCCCCUCUCCUCACUCACAGCUGGAUUUGUUUUGAUGAACAGCAAUCAGCUGCUGCUGGUAAUGCCAAGCCUGCAGCCCUCGGUGCUGAGUGAGGAGUGGGACCUGCACAUCACCCCCCGAGCGCGCCGGCUCUGCCGCGUGCACCGCCGCUGCCGUCCGUGCUGGAGCUCCAGAGCUGCUCAAACAUCCCACCUCCCCUGGAACCAUCCCACCUCCCUGGAGCCAUCCCACCUCCCUGGAACCAUCCCACCUCCCCUGGAGCCAUCCACCUCCCGUGGAACCAUCCACCUCCCUGGAACCAUCCACCUCCCCUGGAGCCAUCCACCUCCCGUGGAACCAUCCACCUCCCCUGGAGCCAUCCCACCUCCCCUGGAACCAUCCCACCUCCCUGGAGCCAUCCCACCUCCCCUGGAACCAUCCACCUCCCCUGGAACCAUCCCACCUCCCGUGGAACCAUCCACCUCCCGUGGAACCAUCCACCUCCCCUGGAACCAUCCCACCUCCCGUGGAACCAUCCACCUCCCCUGGAACCAUCCCACCUCCCCUGGAACCAUCCCACCUCCUGUGGAACCAUCCCACCUCCCGUGGCAGCAGGGCCAGGGGAGAAUGUUUGAGUUAUUCUUUGGUGGCUUUGAGGGUUUGUGUGCCUGGAAACCAGCAGAGAUGGCGAGAACCAGAGCUCGCUCCUGUUGGGACCUGCUGAAGGACAGAGCUGGGUGGAAGGAGGACAAACAAUCAGUUGAAGAGAAUGGCAGCUCUUGUGUCUCCAGGAGAGGAAUGGCUUCACUCAGAGGUGGUGUGUGUGCUCCAGGCAGAGCAGGACCAGAGGCUCAGGGAUUGCAAAGCAGAGGAGCAGCUCCUGCAGCCUCAGGGGCACUGGGGGCUCCCAGCCUGGACUUUGCUUUGGGCUCCACACGAAGGGAAGCUGAGCCAGCCCCGGAUCCAGCCUGGAAACCCUAACCCAGAGAGGAGGGAUGAUGCUGGAGUUCAGUAAAUGUGGAGCUGCUGAAGGCAGGGGUGAACUGACAGCGAGGACAGAGCCAGAGCAGCCUGACCUUGGGCAGUGAUAAGGAUCCAACCCUCACUGUUUCCUUUGGGUCUCUGUUUCUGACCUCUGCCCCCUUUUAGCAGUUCAUUAAAGCUUUGUGUCGAGCUGACAUUCCCAGCUCCUGCCAGGAAUCCGCUGUUCCUUAUUCUGGAUCCGGUGAAUACCGAGUCAGAUAACAUCAGGGAAGGAGCACUGGUGUUUAUGGCAUUACAGGAUAGCUCUGUCUCACUGAAAAUUGCACUUCCAUUUCCACGAACACCCAGGGAAUAUUCUGGGUUUAUUUUAACCCCUUCCUAGCACAGCCCCAGCAUGUGUGUACAGCUCGGGCACAGGCUCUGUGGAGAGACGGAGCUGAGGGAUCAAUAGAACCCAAAGAAUAUCAAUACCUGUCGGGGAGAGGGCUCUGAGCACUCUGUGCCCAUUGCAAUUAUCCACUGCUGAAGCUUUCAGGUGUCCUCCAGUGUUCCCAGCCUUCACCGAGCUCUGGCAGCAGGGCAUGCAGCAGGUGAGAGCUGUGGCUCCCUGCUCCUGCUGGAAGCACCAGGAAUCUUUGCUGGGUGCUGCCUGCUCGCUCCCCAGGCAAUGCCAGAGGUGACAACGCCUGGGUGCUGGCCCUGUGUGGCCCCAGUGAGUCCCAGCAGGGGAAGCCUCCAGGGCAGAGACCCCGAGCUGAGUGCUGCCCUUCCCACCCUGCCUGGGAUGUUGGGGGGCUCCAGACCCCCCAGCCCUGCUGGGUCCUGGGAUGAGCACCAGCCUCACACUUUGGGAAGGGCAGACAGCUCUCUGCACAGCCUGGCUGGAGUGCAGGACACAGACAGUUAUUAAAUAAUGUUCUGUGCCUGAUUCUAAUGACAGAAACGGCACUUGCAAUCUCCAGGUGGAUCUGACCAUCCGUCAUCUGCAGUUAUUAAGUUGCUGGGAGAGAUGAGAGCAAGAGUGCAUUGAGCCCCUGCCAUUUAUAAGCCCAAUUACCAAACCAUUUCUGUCCAAGCACAGAGCUUGUCAAGCCUAAGUGAGAAUAAACACUGCAGGGAGGAGCA